rnacentral:misc_RNA from 1 species
AUCUUAUACACCCUAUUACACAGCCUGUAUUAGCUAAUAAAGGCUUUAAGAGAUCUAUCUCAACGAAGACUCUAGCAAACUUACCUCUAGUUGCCAGUGAGGUGUUCUCAUCAACCUUGAUAACCUUGCCCACUCUACUUCCCAGUUUAAGAGGAACUUAUCAUUAUAAUAUUCCAUCGGAAGUCCAGGAAAACGGACUUAGGCUAUAACUUUGCUGAUAGAGGCCUUUCCUGAUUGAAAAUUAAGGGUCCAUCUUCUCACGCAAUGGUAAUGACCAGCCACCAUCCUAGGUCCACCCAAAAGGGCAAGCUCAAAAUCAGUUUUAUGAGUGAACCUGGCAAUGAAAAAUCAUUAUUAAUGUCUACCAUUUGAACCUUACCUUUUUGCCCAGUUCUUGGUCAUUUGUGAUUCCACAUAGUGGUAAACCACUUUUUUCCCCAAGACUUUGAAAAUAAGAGUAAGGCACCAUGGGUACUAGAGCAUUCGCUUCUCUUCUGCUGAUAAAAGAAUGUUGGGUGGGCACCUUUCAUCAUCCUCUUGAAUCUCAACAUCUGAUGGAGCAUGCCAGUCAUCAUCAUUCCACCCCUCAUUACCACCCUGAAAGUUCGCCUCUAUGGGACUUUUACCUUCCAACGUGUUAUCAGAGGAUUGGACUUUUGCAUUCUCUAUCUUAAUCCCCUUCCUAUUAUCAUCCACAGCCCCGUCAUUCAUAUUGAUUUUCGGUUCCUCUAGAUUUCACCCAGCAGCAUAUCUUUCCAUGAGCGUCGAUUUUUUUUCCAUGGGGACAUGUAGGGCUAGCACUAUCCUCAUCUCUAGGAAGGGAUUGACCUUCAAUCGUGGUCUUAACUUUUUUCUUACUUCUGAUCAGCUGGUCCGCCUCUUCAUUAUACAGACCUUCCAUGUUCUCUUCCACUUCAUUCAGCAUCACAAUUGUGUGAUUUUUUUUCCAAGUCUUUCCUAGCUUUCCAAAAAGGAUUGUUGUAAGUUUUAACUUGAUAGUGGAAUCUGAUUCUAGAGUGGCCCUCUAGUGGGUUCUUUACUCUUUGCAGGUUCUCUGCCCACCAUGUGCUUCCACCAUUUCUUGAAUUAGUCAAAAUACACCUUUUAAAAUUUUGAGAAGCUUAAUUCUGCCCUUUGUUCAAG